GACGAACGCUGGCGGCGUGCUUAACACAUGCAAGUCGAACGGUAAGGCUCCAGCUUGCUGGGGUACACGAGUGGCGAACGGGUGAGUAACACGUGGGUGACCUGCCCUGCACUUCGGGAUAAGCCUGGGAAACUGGGUCUAAUACCGGAUAGGACCAUGGUGUGGAUACUGUGGUGGAAAGUUUUUUCGGUGUGGGAUGGGCCCGCGGCCUAUCAGCUUGUUGGUGGGGUAAUGGCCUACCAAGGCGGCGACGGGUAGCCGGCCUGAGAGGGUGGACGGCCACCUUGGGACUGAGACACGGCCCAGACUCCUACGGGAGGCAGCAGUGGGGAAUGUUGCACAAUGGGCGGAAGCCUGAUGCAGCGACGCCGCGUGGGGGAUGACGGCCUUCGGGUUGUAAACUCCUUUCACCAUCGACGAAGGGUUUCUGACGGUAGAUGGAGAAGAAGCACCGGCUAACUACGUG
rnacentral:rRNA from 1 species